UACGAAGGGGGCUAGCGUUGUUCGGAAUCACUGGGCGUAAAGCGCGCGUAGGCGGAUUGUUAAGUGAGAGGUGAAAUCCCGGAGCUCAACUCCGGAACUGCCUUUCAUACUGGCAAUCUAGAGUCCGGAAGAGGUGAGUGGAACUCCUAGUGUAGAGGUGGAAUUCGUAGAUAUUAGGAAGAACACCAGUGGCGAAGGCGGCUGACUGGACAUGUAUUGACGCUGAGGUGCGAAAGCGUGGGGAGCAAACAGGG
rnacentral:rRNA from 1 species